GCCCAGAAGCGGGGGACAACAUUUGGAAACAGAUGCUAAUACCGCAUAACAACGUUGUUCGCAUGAACAACGCUUAAAAGAUGGCUUCUCGCUAUCACUUCUGGAUGGACCUGCGGUGCAUUAGCUUGUUGGUGGGGUAACGGCCUACCAAGGCGAUGAUGCAUAGCCGAGUUGAGAGACUGAUCGGCCACAAUGGGACUGAGACACGGCCCAUACUCCUACGGGAGGCAGCAGUAGGGAAUCUUCCACAAUGGGCGCAAGCCUGAUGGAGCAACACCGCGUGAGUGAAGAAGGGUUUCGGCUCGUAAAGCUCUGUUGUUAAAGAAGAACACGUAUGAGAGUAACUGUUCAUACGUUGACGGUAUUUAACCAGAAAGUCACGGCUAACUACGUGCCAGCAGCCGCGGUAAUACGUAGGUGGCAAGCGUUAUCCGGAUUUAUUGGGCGUAAAGAGAGUGCAGGCGGUUUUCUAAGUCUGAUGUGAAAGCCUUCGGCUUAACCGGAGAAGUGCAUCGGAAACUGGAUAACUUGAGUGCAGAAGAGGGUAGUGGAACUCCAUGUGUAGCGGUGGAAUGCGUAGAUAUAUGGAAGAACACCAGUGGCGAAGGCGGCUACCUGGUCUGCAACUGACGCUGAGACUCGAAAGCAUGGGUAGCGAACAGGAUUAGAUACCCUGGUAGUCCAUGCCGUAAACGAUGAGUGCUAGGUGUUGGAGGGUUUCCGCCCUUCAGUGCCGGAGCUAACGCAUUAAGCACUCCGCCUGGGGAGUACGACCGCAAGGUUGAAACUCAAAGGAAUUGACGGGGGCCCGCACAAGCGGUGGAGCAUGUGGUUUAAUUCGAAGCUACGCGAAGAACCUUACCAGGUCUUGACAUCUUGCGCCAACCCUAGAGAUAGGGCGUUUCCUUCGGGAACGCAAUGACAGGUGGUGCAUGGUCGUCGUCAGCUCGUGUCGUGAGAUGUUGGGUUAAGUCCCGCAACGAGCGCAACCCUUGUUACUAGUUGCCAGCAUUAAGUUGGGCACUCUAGUGAGACUGCCGGUGACAAACCGGAGGAAGGUGGGGACGACGUCAGAUCAUCAUGCCCCUUAUGACCUGGGCUACACACGUGCUACAAUGGACGGUACAACGAGUCGCGAACUCGCGAGGGCAAGCAAAUCUCUUAAAACCGUUCUCAGUUC
rnacentral:rRNA from 2 species